rnacentral:lncRNA from 1 species
UCGAGAGUAAAUAACAAAAUUUAAAACAAAACGGAAUAGAGAGCGGCCAUGAAAACUUUUCAAAGAAAGAAAAGUCUUGCAAGGUCAAGAAAAAAAAAAAAUAAUAAUAAAAUUAAAAAAUAAAUAAAAAGCUCAGUUGGGAUAGCACCAUUAAAACUCUUGCAUAUGCUUCAUUCUCCUUUCGUGACGAAAGCCCAUGUGCUGAACGUUGAGAUGACUCUCCAGUAAACCUGAAACGGUAUUCGGCACCAUGGAGAAGAUCAGUUUCUCAACCGGCAAAGCCCAGGAAUAUAAGAAAGACGUGAGAGAGCCGAGGACGCUAAAGUCAGUAUUUCUCCUUUUUCUUCCCUCUUUCAUAUGUUCGUGUGAAGUGAUAGAAAGAGGCAAAGACAGGCUUGUUGAAGAGAUGGAUGGAGUUUAUAUAGAAAAAAGAGCGGGAUAUAAAUGAGAAACAGAUAGUACUGACAUUCCAAAUAGGUGUUUAGUUUCAGCAAAGAGUAAAAGAAAGUAACUGAUUUUCGGACCCAAAAAACAUGAAUCAAUGAGAAUGGAAACUCUUUCU